GGUUAAGAGAAAAUCGCUGCCGGACGCGAGAAACAGUGCAACCUCUCCCAGGCGCUGCUGGAGGGAAAACGUCAUACGCAAUGCCCCUGAGCCCGCGAAAGGAAGACAGCGGGGCUUAAACCUGCCCUACCUUCGUAUCUCGGGGCUACUAAUUCCCCCCGCAAAGUUUCCUAUCCCCAAUGAAGCGGAAGGGAGGACCGACCGCUGGCUGUUGGAACAGGGGCAGGCGUCUCGGAGCCAAAGAAAGCUCGCUGCCUUGGCAGAAUCAUCUCCGUUGGGGGCAGGUAGGGAGCGACCACAGGAAACCUGUUCCAAAGCCCUGCAGAUACCUCGGCAAGCCGCAGAAUCGAAGGAGGGACAGGGGGCACUGUCUGAACAGCGCACGGGAAAUGGGGUACAGCUGAAAUCAGGGUGGUGGUGGUGGUGGGCGCACCGGCAGAAAACCAGUGCCAGGAUGCUUCUGGCGAAAGAAGGAAGAGGCUUAUGUGUGUGUGAACAGAACGCUGCCACUGCAUCCUUCGCUUUUCCCAGCACCACCGGGUGGCACCGUGGGGGUGCAGCAAGGGUUGAGUGGGAAAAUGCACCCUCUUUUUUUCACAACCCACCCUCUCUCUCUUUCCUCCCUCCUGCUUGGCUCCUGCCCACCCCCACGCCAGGGCAAUCUUGAAAAAGACAAAUAAACGCCGCGA
rnacentral:lncRNA from 1 species